CUAGAAACCGGUCAGACUCGACGUUCAGACAUGGAGUCAAACAGACAGGAAAAUCUUGUGUCAAAGUGUGUUAUAAUUCACUGUGACACCGAUGUGACCCACCUUCAUCUCGCUAAAAGAUCCUAGAAGUUACCAGAGCCCCAUUUAACUGCUGUUUGACAGAACUUUACCUGCAGAACAAUGACAUUCUCUCCAUUUCAGGAGCACUGAGACACCUGACAUGUCUGCGUGUGCUGCUCCUGUUCAAUAAUCAGAUUAAGUGUCUAGAAGAAACUGUGGUGGAGCUGAAGAACAUGCAGGAGCUCCACACUCUCUCUUUAUAUCUGAACCCUUUCACUGAAGAUCCUGAAUAUCGCCUAUAUGUGCUCCAUCAUUUGCAAUCUGUACAGUUUUUGGACACAAAAGAAGUACAGCAAGUGGAGAGAAGACGAGCUUUAAAGCUGUUCAAUGCAG
ensembl:processed_transcript